GAGAUCAGGUUUGGUGACACGAGGGCCCAGCCCCUUGGCGUGGGCCUACGUCCGUGCCGGGCCAUGCGUGGGCUUGAAUGAAAGUGAGACCCGCUGCCCACCUAGUCUGUGUUGCCACUUCGUCCAAUUGGAAUAAAAGUUUUUGUGCGUCUGACUUCGAUUCAUCCAAAGAGUUAGACUCCCUUUCUUUUUUUGAGGGGGGAGAAUUGUGCAGUUCUUUGGUCAUGGAUGGGUCGGGCUCGUCGCUGGAAAGGCAGGGCGUGGCGGUGAGAACAAGUCCGAUUUGACGAGGAAAAGUCCAUCAGGUGCGCCCCCGUCGAGUUCGCUGGCGUACACGAGCGAGGGAGCACCCACGCGGCCUUGUGGGAGCCUUGCGAGGUCGCCUGUUCAACCAACACCGUCGCACCUGUUCCAUUACGCUCUAAUAACCCUUGUAUGAAUCGCAUGACACGCGUAAUACCUCACGACACUGUGUACCUACAGGCAGAGGAUCCAGUUCUCGAGUAUAAGAGCGAAACGGAUAUGCAUUGAUUGUAAACUAGAGGCACAUGUGUGUUGUUGACUAAGACUUCUCGCUCUCUCGUCCCCAGGUAUAGCAUCCGUGGCCGCCAGCUGGUCGUCCGGAGGGAGUGGGUACUGGAUGAGGUCGUUCGAUGACGGCACCUGUCGGAUCUAUCAUCGACGACCACGACGACGGAAAAGCGACGACGCUCGGGACUUGUUUAAUACCAGGAGAAAUCGUGCCGGGGAAGAGGUCAACGCCCUGAGGUCAUAUUAACAGACUGACAGUGACCGCAAGUUGCAGGUAAUGUUAAUAAUUGUUGUUGUUUCAAAGAUCUCUGAAUAAAAUCGAAAUUAUCUGUGAAUAUAUAUUGUUUUAUGUUUUUCAAUUAAUCAACCAGUUUUGAG
rnacentral:lncRNA from 1 species